CUGAAACAGGAGGGGCUGCCCAGUGCCUUCCUGGAGAUGCUGACGUAGUGUUGCAUGAUUCGCAGGCUUGGAGAGGAUGGAUGCCUUCUUGCAGUCCCAAGACAGCCGGAAAUCAGGAAGAACAGUCCAACCGUCUCAGAGACAAGCGACCCAAAGCCAGACUUGCAACGCCUUUGAAACAACAUGAAAAUAGCAAAGCAGGGCCUGGAGCAGCCUCAGAGGGAAUGCACAGGUCUGGGCUCUGGCUCAAACUCUUCCUUUUCCACCUUCAGUUGGAACCAGGAUACACUGUAUAUUAAAAUAGUCAGAAGACAGUUCGUGGCUAAAGAGAAACUGUAACAGUAUCAGCAAUUAUCAACUGCAUAUUCUGUGCCAGACUCUGGACCUAGUGCUUCAUUUACAAAGGUCUGCCUAAGUGGGUUAAAAAUGCAGCAUUGAGUGAAAUACACAGGAGAAUCCACCCUCCCACAGGAGCCAGUGUAACAUGUCAUUUAAACUUUGUAGAUGGCAAUGCCACUUUGUGAUGUCAAGAGGGGCAAGAGUGCCUUCUAGAGAGAGCCAUCCGCAGCCCAGAAAUGUAAAGAAAGGCCGCCAGGUAUCCUGUGACAUCAUCCACCAGCUAAGAAAAGAACCAUCAGAAAGAAAUAUGCCUCACCAGCACCUUGAUCUUGGAUUUCUCAUCCUUC